rnacentral:rRNA from 1 species
GACGAACGCUGGCGGCGUGCUUAACACAUGCAAGUCGAACGGAAAGGCCCUGCUUUUGUGGGGUGCUCGAGUGGCGAACGGGUGAGUAACACGUGAGUAACCUGCCCUUGACUUUGGGAUAACUUCAGGAAACUGGGGCUAAUACCGGAUAGGAGCUCCUGCUGCAUGGUGGGGGUUGGAAAGUUUCGGCGGUUGGGGAUGGACUCGCGGCUUAUCAGCUUGUUGGUGGGGUAGUGGCUUACCAAGGCUUUGACGGGUGGCCGGCCUGAGAGGGUGACCGGCCACAUUGGGACUGAGAUACGGCCCAGACUCCUACGGGAGGCAGCAGUGGGGAAUAUUGCACAAUGGGCGGAAGCCUGAUGCAGCAACGCCGCGUGCGGGAUGACGGCCUUCGGGUUAUAAACCGCUUUCGCCUGUGACGAAGCGUGAGUGACGGUAAUGGGUAAAGAAGCACCGGCUAACUACGUG